ACAUCCCAACAUGAAAAACAUGUGUGUGCUAUUAUGUAGGAUAAUUCACUGUUGUCAACACUGCUUACAUUAGCCAAAUAUGUGCUGUAAAUAAACCCAUCUAUAAAGUAACUAAACAUGAUAUAUAUUUAAUUUGUCCCUUAUUACUGUUGAUAUAUUGAGGAACAUUUAAGUUGGAUUAAAAGUGAGUUAACACAUCAACCUCAGCAUGUAAAUUCAGUGUAUAGCUCAUAAUGUGAAUCUUGUCUGUAUGUUACAGGGACAGAAGAACACGCGUGUUUAUCCGGUGGAGAGAGGUUCAUGAUGCUGAAUGGUGUCAUCAAUGGCUCUGAAGCUUUUGUGGUGGAGCAGGACCUGCAAUGAAAGAUGAUGGCAGCAUUUGUUGGGGGAAAAAAAGGUUUCAUGGAUUUUACUCAAACAUAAAGAUCUGAAAAGUCUGCAGACUGGUGUGAGCACUGAGGAUGAGUCCCUUAUGAGACCCUCUAUCGCUCCACCUGCCCUUAUUGCCUCAGAUUGUGAAGCGCGCAGCGCAGCAACAAGCUCCGGCACGAAGGCACAGUCCCCUCUGGUGAAUUCAUCAGAAUAAAGCCGCAGAAUGGGAACCACUGUGUUGAGUCUGCAGUAGGAUCAGCGGCUGUAAAUACAUGCUUGUAGUUUGAAUAAAGCUUUGUUUCAUGUGUUGUUGACUUCUAUAUGCAUUUGAUUAUU